rnacentral:lncRNA from 1 species
CAGUGGAUGACGGUGUAUCCUCUAACGAGAGUUGUAUCCCACUAUCUGUAAGCGUCACCCGUGGCUAAGUGAUGUCAUGAUUGUAGAUAUCUGUUAGGGCCACUAUAGUUGGUACGAUUGUGGUCAUAGAUCGUACCGUAGUUUGGCCAGCCGAAAAUAGGUUCGUGCAAAUUGUCGUAUUUAUAUAUGAUAUGGUCAUUCCAUUUGGGUAAUUGAAAAUCUGUAUCUGCC